rnacentral:lncRNA from 1 species
AUGACAGCUGUUCGGCAAGUAUAGAAAGCGCUGAGUCUAAAACUGGGACAGGGAGGAACAGGGCUGUGGGGAGAGAGGCUGAAAGAAAAGAAGAUGAUAAAAUAGAUGGUAUUUUACAGAAAGCAGAGAGAAAUUUGUGCGGUGGAAAGGUGGCAAUAUACAGAGAAAGAGGAAACACUGGCCUGCAGCAGUAGCCCUAGGGCACUCAUCUCUGUGCAAACACUGGCAACAAAAAAGGUAAUUUUUAAACUUGUGAUCCUAUUAAAGUAAUGCUAAUGAUUUAGGUAGUUGAGGAACAUUAUUCAUUAACCAAGCAUAUGUGGUUUUACUUUUCUUCUUUCACUAAAACUCUAAAAAAUCUAUGUACUUUUAUAGGAAACAUUGCUGUCCUUGAAGUUUUGAUAUUUACAGUCUUUAAAUAUGCUUUUUGGGGAUAGCUCAGCAGGGCCACCACCUGCACUGCAAGCACAAGGACCCAGGUUCGAUCUCUGGUACCAAAAAAACCAAAAACCCCCCAAAAAAGCUUUUUUGUGAGAUUUAAAACAACGAACUUAUUCUGAUGCCAUCA